AAGCCUACGGGGGGCAGCAGUGGGGGAUAUUGCACAAUGGGGGAAACCCUGAUGCAGCGACGCCGCGUGAGUGAAGAAGUAUUUCGGUAUGUAAAGCUCUAUCAGCAGGGAAGAAAAUGACAGUACCUGACCAAGAAGCCCCGGCUAACUACGUGCCAGCAGCCGCGGUAAUACGUAGGGGGCAAGCGUUAUCCGGAUUUACUGGGUGUAAAGGGGGCGCAGACGGCGAUGCAAGCCAGGAGUGAAAGCCCG
rnacentral:rRNA from 1 species